CUCCAGAGGGGUCCGAAGUUCGGCGCACUCCUGCCUACCAGCGCCACAGCUGUCAGCACACAGGGGCCGGCGGCCAGCCCUCCUGGGAACAAUCCUGGUUACGGAAUUCCUUGCGUAGGAGAAAAACAAUAACUUCCAGUUGAACAAGAGCUAAAAGAAGGGAAGAUGUGACGGCAGCUCCAUUGAACAAUUUCUCUAAGUACAGACAGGCACCGCUUUCCACCCUCUGGUCACGUUCCACCUCCCAUUCUCAGGAAUUCUCUGGUAGGUGCACCUUGUUCAGAUAAGAACUGCACAGCAUUUCUUCGUGGGCCCCUGCAAGCCAUCCUUUGCAAUGGCACAGCCUCUAAACUUGGAGUUUUGCGGCCGUGGGUCCUACACUUACACUGAAAACCCUCUAUGCACUGCUUCAGAAUGUACCAGCCUCAACUUUCUGUUAUUCAAAUCUUGGCCGUAUGACGGGUUCUAUACGGGAUCUGGCCAGCUUCCUGCGAUGCAGCCUGACAGUACCUGGCCUCAGGCCCGUGCCCUAUGUUUCUUACUUCAUGUCCUUGGGCUUCUCUGUGAAGGCCCAGGCAGAAGCCACCAUGGGAAACUGCUCACUUCUCAUGUACGUGCAACCUGGGAAUGCAAGGGAGUUAACAGUCCAUGAGUCAAAUCUUGGAUCCACUGAGCAGGAUGGGGCGUCUUGAGCUGGUGGCUGCAUCCUUCCCUCUUUCUCCCACUGGAUGGACAGGGCUGAGACAUAUUCAUGCAGCUUUCCAGGAAGUCUCCCAGGACAGAACGACCAGUCACCUGCAGUCAUGACCAAGCUGGAGUGCUUCCUUGAACUGGUUCUCCUCCUCCCCUGCGUCACUCUCCUGUCACUCACCCUGUCCCUUCGAUCAAAUCUCCAAUUUCCUUGGUCGUAGGCUUUGCUUUCUGGCAAACCCAGAUUAAGACAAAACUGAUUAAAAACUUUUAAAUCAAGGCAAAAAGAAACUAAAAUGAAUUAAUCUAUUUUUUAACAAAAGAUCUACAUGGAAGAUGAUAAUAUCACAAGGAAAUGAAAAAUGUAAAUGCAGGAUUUUUGAAACCAAAGAUAAAUACUUGAAGGGGAAAGCUGAUGAUUUAGAAUUUAUAAUUAUGGAUCAUCUCAGCAAAAUUAGAAGCUGAAGGAGCAAAGAAAUAACCAGUAAAAAAAAAUGCUCAGAAUUUCCAGAGUGAAGGGGGCUGAGCUGGUAAAAUGUCUUGUGAGGACAGAACGGCUAUUAUUUAAUUUCAUACAUCAAUUGAAAACAUAGACUUAAAAAGAUGGGACUGCACCCACGAGCAGAAUGGAGGAGCACGAUAACAGGUGUCAAUUAAGGCUGGUGGAGGAAGCUAGUACAGAAAAAACCCGAAAACAUGGGUUUCCUAGCCAAAUACUAGGAAAAGAAAAACAGAUAAAUGAAGACUACCAACUAAAAUGAAUAGGAAACAUAAAAAAAGAAAAGAACUAAAAAUAAAUACAUCACUUAAGCCAACAAUCAUAAAAGGGCUGAAUUCUCCCUUUAAGAAGAUAGCUGCUCAGGUUGAAAAAAACAAAACAAACAAAAUUUUCACCUAUAUGCAGUUUAUAAGAGACAUCUCUAAAAGUAAAUAAUGAAGAAAUGUUGAUUUUAAUGCUCAAAGUUAUACCAGGAAAAUGCAAACAAUUAAAAAACAAGAAAGGUGAUAUUUCAACAUAAAGCUCAAUUCAAGGCUUGAACUGUUAAAUAAAGAAAAGAAUCCGAUUUUUAAUCAUAAAAGAUACAAUCUUUGAGGAAGAUAAAACAGCCAUGAACCUUUGUGUGAUGAAAAACCUAACAGCCAAAUACGUAGAAUAAAAACUCCUAGAAAUAUCAGGAGAACUUUACAAAAUCACAAUGCUAAUAGGAGAUUUUAUUACACCUCUUUCAUUAUUUGGUAUAUCAAGGAGAUAAAAAAAAGCAAUGUAGAAAGUAUUGAAAUCUCACAACCAAGAAGUUAAUUUAGUAGCUG
ensembl:lncRNA